ACGGAAGGCAGCAGUGAGGAAUAUUGGUCAAUGGGCGGAAGCUUGAACCAGCCAAGUAGCGUGCAGGACGACGGCCCUAUGGGUUGUAAACUGCUUUCGUCAGGGAAUAAAAAGGAUUACGUGUAAUCCAUUGCAUGUACCUGAAGAAUAAGGACCGGCUAAUUCCGUGCCAGCAGCCGCGGUAAUACGGAAGGUCCGGGCGUUAUCCGGAUUUAUUGGGUUUAAAGGGAGCGCAGGCGGCGAUUUAAGCGUGUUGUGAAAUGUAGGAGCUCAACUUCUGCACUGCAGCGCGAACUGGAUUGCUUGAGUACGCGGGAAGUAGGCGGAAUUCGUCGUGUAGCGGUGAAAUGCUAGAUAUGGCGAAGAACUCCGAUUGCGUAGGCAGCUGACCAGGCCGUAAAUGACGCUCAUGCACGAAAGUGCGGGGAUCGAACAGGAUUAGAUACCCUGGUA
rnacentral:rRNA from 1 species